UGGCUGCGCUAGGAGCCUCGGCCGCCGGUCGCCGAGGGCUGGUGGGAAGGCAGGAGCGAGAGGGCCCGGGAGACUGGCGCCCGCGCGGGCGCAGCGCGGCAUGUAGCUGCGGGCGCCCGCGUGUGGGUGUCGGCCCGGGGCCCCGCCAUGGCUGGGAAGGACAGUGGGCACCUGAAGACGGUGAGGCUGUGGCGGGACGCCGCCCUGCGCGCCAGGAAGCUGCGGAGCAACCUGCGCCAGCUCACGCUCAGCGCUGCCGGGGGCUGCCCGGGGGCGGGCGCCGAGCAGCUCGACUGCCCCGACGCCCCCCAGCUCGUGCUGCCGGCCAACAUCGGCGACAUUGAGGUGCUGAACCUGGGGAACAACGGCCUGGAGGAGGUGCCCGACGGGCUGGGCUCGGCGCUGGGCAGCCUGCGCGUCCUGGUCCUGCGCAGGAACCGCUUCGCCCGGCUGCCCCCGGCCGUGGCCGAGUUGGGCCACCACCUCACCGAGCUGGACGUGAGCCACAACCGGCUGACCGCCCUGGGCGCGGAGGUGGUGAGUGCCCUGCGGGAGCUGCGCAAGCUCAACCUCAGCCACAACCAGCUGCCCGCCCUGCCCGCCCAGCUGGGUGCCCUGGCCCACCUGGAGGAGCUGGAUGUCAGCUUUAACCGGCUGGCACACCUGCCCGACUCCCUCUCCUGCCUCUUCCGCCUGCGCACGCUCGACGUGGACCACAACCGGCUCACUGCUUUCCCCCGGCAGCUGCUGCAGCUGGCGGCCCUGGAGGAGUUGGACGUGUCCGGCAACCGGCUGCGGGGCCUGCCUGAGGAUAUCAGUGCCCUGCGCGCCCUCAAGAUCCUCUGGCUGAGUGGCGCCGAGCUUGGCACCCUGCCCAGUGGCUUCUGCGAGCUGGCCAGCCUCGAGAGCCUCAUGCUAGACAACAACGGGCUGCAGGCGCUGCCCGCCCAGUUCAGCCGCCUGCAGCGACUGAAAAUGCUCAACCUCUCCUCCAACCUGUUCGAGGAGUUCCCUGCCGCGCUGCUGCCCCUGGCUGGUCUGGAGGAGCUCUACCUUAGUCGCAACCAGCUCACAUCGGUGCCAUCCCUUAUCUCGGGCCUGGGCCGGCUGCUCACCCUCUGGCUGGAUAACAACCGGAUCCGCUAUCUGCCCGACUCCAUCGUGGAGCUGACCGGCCUGGAGGAGCUGGUGCUGCAAGGGAACCAGAUCGCCGUGCUGCCCGACAACUUUGGCCAGCUCUCCAGGGUGGGCCUGUGGAAGAUCAAGGACAAUCCGCUGAUCCAGCCCCCCUACGAGGUCUGCAUGAAGGGGAUCCCCUACAUUGCCGCCUACCAGAAGGAGUUGGCCCAUUCCCAGCCCGCGGUGCAGCCCCGCCUCAAGCUGCUCCUGAUGGGCCACAAGGCUGCGGGGAAGACCUUGCUCCGUCACUGCCUCACUGAGGAGAGAGUGGAGGGACACCAAGGAGGAGGGGACAAGGAAGAGAGCUACCCCCCUUCCGCUCCUCCUGUGAGCAAAGGCAUCGAGGUGACCAGCUGGACGGCUGAUGCUUCCCGGGGACUGCGGUUCAUCGUGUAUGAUUUAGCUGGUGAUGAGAGUUACGAGGUGAUCCAGCCCUUCUUCCUCUCCCCAGGAGCCCUCUACAUGCUGGUGGUGAACCUGGCCACCUAUGAGCCACCCCGCUUUCCCACCACCGUGGGCUCCUUCUUGCAUCGGGUGGGGGCUCGCGUGCCGCAUGCCGUGGUGUGCAUCGUGGGCACGCACGCAGACCUGUGUGGGGAGCGGGAGCUGGAGGAGAAGUGCCUGGACAUUCACCGCCAGAUUGCCCUGCAGGAGAAGCAUGAUGCAGAGGGGCUGAGCCGGUUGGCCCAGGUGGUGGACGAGGCACUGGCCCGGGACUUUGAGCUGCGCUCCGCCAGCCCCCAUGCAGCCUACUGUGGGGUUUCAGACAAGAACCUUCGGCGGCGCAAGGCCCAUUUUCAGUACCUGCUCAACCACCGGCUGCAGAUCCUCUCCCCGGUGUUGCCUGUUAGCUGUAGGGACCCUCGGCAGUUACAGCGGCUUCGGGACAAACUGCUCUCAGUAGCAGAGCACAGGGAGAUCUUCCCCAAUUUACACAGAGUACUGCCUCGGUCCUGGCAGGUGCUGGAGGAACUGCACUUCCAGCCGCCUCAGGCACAGCGACUGUGGCUCAGCUGGUGGGACUCGGCCCGUCUGGGCCUGCAGGCGGGUCUGACCGAGGACCGGCUGCAGAGUGCCCUUUCUUACCUGCAUGAAAGCGGCAAGCUGCUCUACUUUGAGGACAGCCCCGCCCUCAAGGAGCACGUCUUCCACAACCUCACCCGCCUCAUCGACAUCCUCAAUGUCUUUUUCCAGAGGGAUCCUUCCUUGCUGCUGCACAAGUUGCUCCUGGGGACCAGCGGUGAGGGCGAGGGCGAGGGUGAAAGCGCCCCAGCGAUGACGACGCCCACCCCGGGCCAGGAACUGCUCCGGGCCACCCAGCUCCAUCAUUACGUGGAGGGCUUUCUGCUUCACGGGCUCUUGCCAGCCCAUGUCAUUCGGUUGCUGCUGAAGCCUCACGUCCAGGCCCCGCAGGACUUGCAGCUGUUGCUGGAGCUGCUGGAGAAGAUGGGACUCUGUUACUGCCUCAAUAAACCGAAGGGCAAGCCCUUGAAUGGGUCCACGGCUUGGUACAAAUUCCCGUGCUAUGUGCAGAACGAGGUGCCCCAUGCAGAGGCCUGGAUUAAUGGGACCAACCUGGCCGGGCAGUCUUUUGUGGCUGAGCAGUUGCAGAUUGAAUAUAGUUUCCCCUUUACCUUUCCACCUGGUCUGUUUGCACGCUACAGUGUCCAGAUCAACAGCCACGUGGUGCACAGGUCGGAUGGGAAACUUCAGAUCUUUGCAUAUCGAGGGAAGGUUCCCGUGGUGGUCAGUUACAGACCUGCCAAGGGCGUCCUGCAGCCAGACACUCUGUCCAUUGCCAGCCACGCAUCCUUACCAAAUAUAUGGACGGCAUGGCAAGCCAUAACCCCCUUAGUAGAGGAACUGAAUGUCCUACUUCAGGAAUGGCCUGGACUGCACUACACCGUGCACAUUCUCUGUUCUAAGUGCCUUAAGAGAGGGUCGCCCAAUCCACACGCUUUCCCAGGGGAGUUGCUGAGUCAGCCCAGACCAGAAGGAGUGGCAGAAAUCAUUUGCCCUAAGAACGGCAGCGAGCGAGUGAAUGUUGCCUUGGUUUACCCACCUACACCGACUGUGAUCAGCCCCUGUUCUAAGUAUCUCCAUACUUUCUUGGAAAAUUAAGUGGAAAAGAUAGUGCUUCUUUCCCCUAUGUCAUCAUUUUUCUGUACCCAAUCUGUGACUUUAGGAGCACCAAUUUUUAAGGGAAGAACGUUGGUGAAAAGCACAGAAACCAAUGACUUCUAUGGCUAUGGAAUUUCCGUGGAGAAAAGAGAGCAUCCGAACUCACCUGGACCAUCUUUCAUACCUGGCAAACCCUCUCCAUGCUCCCGCGCGUGUUCCGUGAACUUGAGCGAAUAGACGUUCGGGGUGCUUACAGAGCAGGGCGUACACCUGGCCUGUAGAGGAAGUGGGGAGGGGCAGGGGGAGGCUGGGGGAGAACAUGGAGCAAAUGUUUUACAACCCGAACCUCAGAACUGUGAUCCUCCGAGGAGAGCGCUACUUGAAGAAAAGAAAAAAAAAAAAAAAAAGUCGAAUGGCUUCUCAGGGAUUUUGUUUUCUGUGCACAUUAAAGCCAUAGUUCCAGUAUAGGUGGCCGUGUUUUGAGCACUCAGAUUUCAGUUCUGUUAAAUGUGAAAGAGGGAUCGACUGUUCAUUGCUGUUCCGUAACUAGUGUAAAAUAUGUAUAUGUUUAUCUUUAUUUUUAUAAUAUGCAAAUACAUUUAAAUUUAUACAGUUUAAUGCUUCUAGCGUUAGUUCACACUGGGUGCAAUAUUCUGCAUGAGAACUGUGCCGAGAUGGGGCUAAUUUCUUAUUUUAGCGUAAGACCUUUUUGUUCAUUCUUUAUUCUUUAAUCCGUCUGAGAUUUAAAAAAAAAAAUCUCUCUGCCCACGGAUUAAGUGCUGGGGUCAUAGAGGCUGCCGAUAAUCAACAAGAACCUUAAACGUGUACGGCAGGCAGUCUCCUGCCCUUCUUUUAAAUAAAGAUCCCCCGCCUGUAAGCCUGUCUGUUGGGCGGGCUGGUGGGAUUCCUGUGUCGCUCUGCCCGCCUGUCCGCUGGCACCGAGCCAAGUGGUCCUUGCUCCAGGAUGGGUUUUGUGUCGACAGUGAGUUGUCACUGGCUGAUGUACUGAUGGAGGCCUGGUGUUGGGAUUCUUCAGGGGACAGGGACAGAGAGGGGUCAUUGAGUCCAUGGAAAACCUGAGUCUUUCAAUAGCUCAAGAUAAUCAGGAGUCAGUUGUGAAUGGUGCAAAGAGCUUUGCUAACGAGUCCUUUUUUUCUCUCUCUCUACAACAGAGUCUGUGAAAUUUAGCAGAGCACUCUGACAGCCCUCCACAUCUGGCUGUCAGACCUUAAGAUAGUGAGUUGCCUCACUGGAGAGCAUAAUCCCACAUUGGUUAUUUACAAAUGCAGAGCCUUGAUAGGAUGGUCACCUGCCAAGAACUAGUAAAACCAUUGUUGUUCAGUCUCCACAGAGUGGAACAUGAAAAGCAAAGCAGAUUGCUCUCUCAUCCACUCCGAAUCGGGGCCAAACGUAUCUGCUGCAAUAGUAACACAUUCUUUGAAGAAUGGAAAGGACUCUGUUUACGGCUGCCUCCUCUGCGUGUUGAUGGAAAAAUGUGUAAAACAAACUGUUUCUCACCAGUGUAAGGCAUGAAAAGUGAGUCAGCUGGUAUUAUUCUUUUCCUUCUUUUAUAAAGUAUUGACUCUCGCAAUGCCAGUAUACAAAGUCUUGACGUAUUUUUAAAAGGAAUAACAAACUAGCAAGCGGUUGCAUUGUGAACAAUCCCAAGUUGAUUUUCGUAGAUUUUGUGCCCCAGGAGUUGAGACUCCAGAACCUCAGUUAAACGAAUAUGAUUUCUCACGGCCAUAAAAUCAAAUGGGAUCAGACUAUUUCUGCAUUUUUGGAUAUUUGAAUAUGACACCUCAAUUUUGAAAUUUCAUUUCCUUUUAGAACACAGUCACAAGAUCACCUGCUUAAUCCUUUGGUCACAGUUCUUGUGCGAGCAUGUGCGUGCGUGCAUCUGUGUGCGUGUGAGCCAAAUGGUAACAUUUAAUUGCUUUAUGGACCAUUGAAUUGUUGGGCAUAGGACUUUUGUAAUUGGCACGAGACGGUUCCUAAACUGUCAGAUUAACUGACUUGACCAGUCUUUUGCAAGGACACUGAAGGAUGCGACUUCAGGCUAACUCCCCAGGGGACCAUAUUAAAUGAAAAAAAAAAAAAAGGCUCCUUUGGGUGACAUACCCUGCAAAAUGUUUGUUAUUCUUAUGAACAUAAAUGCCCACAUUCUUAAUAUCUGCUAUUAUUUGACAAGUGAUGUUUUGUGCUGUCAUCUGAACCCUAGAGAAGCAGUGUAAGAAGAAAUCUUGGUGUCACGUGUGUUUUAGCAAAAUGGUCAUUGUGACCAAGGGUCACGUGACCAGCAGAAGCUCCAGAAAAGCUCGAGACCUUGCUUCAGGGUUGGGGGAGGGUUGGAGAUACAGAAAACACUCUGCUCUACUGGAAUGUUCAGUGUCAAUGCAGGCGGUUGCAUACGUGGGAAGACUCAGCCUGCCGAGGCUGACGGGCAGGUCACUAAAGCACAAGGGGAGUCUUUUGAGACGCAGUGGUCCCUUGCCUCGCAAACAAACGCCCUUCAAGUUUGUUAUGGUUUCUAUUCCUGCAACCUGUGGUAUCAAAACCACUUCCUGGAAUUUAACAGUGCUGCCAGGAUAAAAUGUUUUUCCCCCUUCUGAGAAAAAAAAAAAAAUGACAGUGCUCAUAUUUGACAUUUGUGCAUCGGACUCUUUUGAAUGAAUAAAAAGGAAAGGGUUUGGUAUAAUUCCUGAUGGGGUGUGUGUGUGUUCUUUUUCAUGCCACAGUUUGUAAAUUGUAAUUGUGGUUUCCCCUUGAAUUGUCUUGACUGAGCAGAAAUUUAAAAAAGUCAAAAAAGUUCAAUAAAAAUACAAAGAAAUGAUGAAGCAA